GGGAAAACAGCAACAGAAAUAGUUGGAGAGCAGUGAUCAUCCUAUGCAUUGCCUUACGUACUACAAAGGGAGGGCUGUCAUCAUCCGCAUAAAGCCCAAGCUUUCUGUACUAUGUGACCCUGCUUCAUUUUUAGGUUUGGGUUUAUAGCACCAGCACUUAAAAGGCUGUCUGGGCCAGGUCCUGUGGUCAGUGGAAAACACGUCUACCAAGGCAGACUAACCAACCCACCAGAGCUCAUGGAUACCCAGGUUCUUUGUUGUGCCUGUGGCCUCUGCAGAUGGAAGGUCUGAGUUCUGUGAAUGAAACACAGCAAUUCGGAAAGGAAACCCCACCGCUCACUGCAGUUCAAUGUGAAGUGGAGUACUCCUCCCCACACUUACAGAAGUAGGACGAUGUCCUUAAAGUUAAAAAAAAAAAAAGUCAUACAGCCAUAAAUAUCAAUGGCUGAAUAGUUUGUAGUACUUAUUUCAUUCUCGAGUUGUAACAAAGGUUGGUUUGAGCUGGCUUCUUAAAAAGCAUGUGGCAUUUCCAAGUCCUCACACCUCCCUUUAUGGGCUCAGCAGUGGAGACUGGUGGGGAAGGUCCUGCGUACAUGACUUUGUCACUUCCAGAAGGUGAAGCCCACAGUGUGGAGUUUCCGGGGCUGUGAGCAAGGUUCCUGUGUGUAGCUGAUCAUUCUCCCCCAGCACUGCAAAGCCGCUGUUACAAACUGGCCUCCCACCACUCAAGGCACACAGCACAGGGCAAUAAAUAUCUGCUAAAAGAAGUCAGACUGGUCUCCGGGAAGAGAUAACUCUGCUCCUUCUGUGAAUUCUUCAGCUGUACUGCAGACAUUACUUGUGCUGGGAGAUGGCGGUUGCUGGGGAAAAAACCUGAGAAACCCUAGUUCAUAUCCUCCCUCUGACACUUCUUAGAGUGAUUACUGCUGGUAGGAAGCAGCUGGGAGGCGUGCAGUGCUGGCACCGUGUCAUCGCAGGACCACUGCAGCCGCCAAGCUGCUUUCAAAGACUGGAAGCAACAGGUGCCUGUCAUCGAAAGCAGGGGAAUGAUUUUCACACAUUACAGGAAACCAGGGAUGUUACUGGGUGACUUUUAUUUGCUGUGAAAGGCAAAUUUUUGGCAAAGCCCAAAAGACUCUUGGCGAGAACUUGAGUUUUAGAGGCCUCAGAUCAUCACUGUGUGUCUGCAAGCAGAUGUGGGCUCUGCACGCAUCUGUGUGCUUUGAACAGGACUUCCAGCCACCCAUAGUGGAUGUUAUUGCAAGCAGAAUAAAUACAACCAGUGUUGUUUAUUGCUUAUCCUGUAUAAACCAGUGUCCAGAGCCAUAUCAUGUGUUCAUAUCAGAGGCACUGGAAAGGUCUCCUGUUUCUAACAACACCUUCCUCGCUGGGGCAGCUGAGCUUGUUAUGGCCUUUCCUAGGAAGAAAUUCUGAGGUGGUGGGAGACGCGGGGAGGGAAGCGGUAAGGGCAUUAGAGGUGUGGGUGUUGAGGAAUUGGAAAAGGACAGAAUUGGGCAAAGUACAGAAAAAGUACUUUGCUUCAGACUUUA
rnacentral:lncRNA from 1 species